rnacentral:rRNA from 1 species
ACACGUGAGUAACCUGCCCUUGACUUCGGGAUAACUCCGGGAAACCGGGGCUAAUACCGGAUAUGAGCUACCUUCGCAUGGGGGUGGUUGGAAAGUUUUUCGGUCAGGGAUGGGCUCGCGGCCUAUCAGCUUGUUGGUGGGGUGAUGGCCUACCAAGGCGACGACGGGUAGCCGGCCUGAGAGGGCGACCGGCCACACUGGGACUGAGACACGGCCCAGACUCCUACGGGAGGCAGCAGUGGGGAAUAUUGCACAAUGGGCGAAAGCCUGAUGCAGCGACGCCGCGUGAGGGAUGAAGGCCUUCGGGUUGUAAACCUCUUUCAGCAGGGAAGAAGCGCAAGUGACGGUACCUGCAGAAGAAGCGCCGGCUAACUACGUGCCAGCAGCCGCGGUAAUACGUAGGGCGCAAGCGUUGUCCGGAAUUAUUGGGCGUAAAGAGCUCGUAGGCGGUUUGUCGCGUCUGGUGUGAAAACUCGAGGCUCAACCUCGAGCUUGCAUCGGGUACGGGCAGACUAGAGUGCGGUAGGGGAGACUGGAAUUCCUGGUGUAGCGGUGGAAUGCGCAGAUAUCAGGAGGAACACCGAUGGCGAAGGCAGGUCUCUGGGCCGCAACUGACGCUGAGGAGCGAAAGCAUGGGGAGCGAACAGGAUUAGAUACCCUGGUAGUCCAUGCCGUAAACGUUGGGCACUAGGUGUGGGGCUCAUUCCACGAGUUCCGUGCCGCAGCAAACGCAUUAAGUGCCCCGCCUGGGGAGUACGGCCGCAAGGCUAAAACUCAAAGGAAUUGACGGGGGCCCGCACAAGCGGCGGAGCAUGCGGAUUAAUUCGAUGCAACGCGAAGAACCUUACCAAGGCUUGACAUGCACGGGAAGCCACCAGAGAUGGUGGUCUCUUUGGACACUCGUGCACAGGUGGUGCAUGGUUGUCGUCAGCUCGUGUCGUGAGAUGUUGGGUUAAGUCCCGCAACGAGCGCAACCCUCGUCCCAUGUUGCCAGCGGGUUAUGCCGGGGACUCAUGGGAGACUGCCGGGGUCAACUCGGAGGAAGGUGGGGAUGACGUCAAAUCAUCAUGCCCCUUAUGUCUUGGGCUUCACGCAUGCUACAAUGGCCGGUACAAAGGGCUGCGAUACCGCAAGGUGGAGCGAAUCCCAAAAAGCCGGUCUCAGUUCGGAUUGGGGUCUGCAACUCGACCCCAUGAAGUCGGAGUCGCUAGUAAUCGCAGAUCAGCAACGCUGCGGUGAAUACGUUCCCGGGCCUUGUACACACCGCCCGUCAAG